rnacentral:rRNA from 1 species
AAGUGAAGCAGAGGACAGUGGCGGACGGGUGAGUAACGCGUGAGCAACCUGCCUUUCAGUGGGGGACAACAUUUGGAAACGAAUGCUAAUACCGCAUAAGACCACAGUGUCGCAUGGCACAGGGGUCAAAGGAUUUAUCCGCUGAAAGAUGGGCUCGCGUCCGAUUAGCUAGAUGGUGAGGUAACGGCCCACCAUGGCGACGAUCGGUAGCCGGACUGAGAGGUUGAACGGCCACAUUGGGACUGAGACACGGCCCAGACUCC